GGCGUAGGCGGUCUUUCAAGUCGGAUGUAAAAUCUCCCGGCUCAACUGGGAGGGCGCAUUCGAUACUGUUAGACUUGAGGGCAGCAGAGGAAAGCGGAAUUCCCGGUGUAGUGGUGAAAUGCGUAGAUAUCGGGAGGAACACCAGUGGCGAAGGCGGCUUUCUGGGCUGCAUCUGACGCUGAGGCCCGAAAGCGUGGGGAGCGAACAGGAUUAGAUACCCUGGUAGUCC
rnacentral:rRNA from 1 species